CACCGCGGUUAUACGAGAGGCCCAAGUUGACAGAAAUCGGCGUAAAGCGUGGUUAAUAAAAAUUAAACUAAAGCCGAACACCUUCAAAGCUGUUAUACGCACCCGAAGACAGGAAGACCCACAACGAAAGUGGCUUUAACUAUUAUGACCCCACGAAAGCUAGGACA
rnacentral:rRNA from 1 species